rnacentral:miRNA from 1 species
CUUCCAGUAGCACCUUAGAGACCAACUAAGUUUAUUAUUGGUAUGAGCUUUCGUGUGCAUGCACACUUCUUCAGAUACACACAAAAGCUCAUACCAAUAACAAACUUAGUUGGUCUCUAAGGUGCUACUGGAAG